UAGAUCUCCCUCCGUCCCGAAUUACUUGUCGCAGAAAUGGAUGAAAACAGAUGUAUCUAGAACUAAAUUACGUCUAGAUACACCCAUUUCCGCGACAAGUAAUUCCAGACGGAGGGAGUAGUAA
rfam:Hordeum vulgare subsp. vulgare, WGS project CAJW01000000 data, contig: morex_contig_38944